rnacentral:rRNA from 1 species
UACGUAGGGUGCAAGCGUUGUCCGGAAUUAUUGGGCGUAAAGAGCGUGUAGGCGGCCCGAUUAGUCCGCUGUGAAAGUCCAGGGCUCAACCCUGGAAUGCCGGUGGAUACUGUCGGGCUAGAGUCCGGAAGGGGCGAGUGGAAUUCCUGGUGUAGCGGUGAAAUGCGCAGAUAUCAGGAGGAACACCGGUGGCGAAGGCGGGACUCUGGGCCGACACUGACGCUGAUGCGCGAAAGCCAGGGGAGCGAACGGG